UACGGAGGAUGCAAGCGUUAUCCGGAAUUAUUGGGCGUAAAGCGUCCGUAGAUGGUCGUUUCAAGUCUGCUGUCAAAGACCGGUGCUUAACCCCAGAAAGGCGGUGGAAACUGAACAGCUAGAGAGAGGUAGGGGUAGAGGGAAUUCCCAGUGUAGCGGUGAAAUGCGUAGAUAUUGGGAAGAACAUCAGUGGCGAAAGCGCUCUACUGGACCUUAUCUGACAUUGAGGGACGAAAGCUAGGGGAGCGAAUGGG
rnacentral:rRNA from 1 species